AGCUUUUAGUAUUAAAAUGGUUAAAUCGGUUAUUAUUUAUGCAAACUAUUUUAAGUUAUUUUAUUUCACAAAUUUAUCUGGUUAACGAUUUUUGAAAGCUAGGUAAACGUAUAAUUGAGGGUUUGAGCUUCAGCCAGUUAUGACAAAACAAACAUUAAUUAAACAUACACGUAUUUUAACAACAAAAGAAUCCGUUCAUUUGAAAUAGUUUUACCCAAACCUUGAAACUUUCAUGUAUGUUUAUAGGGAUAUUAAUCUACAUGGUUAAUUUGCUUCUAAGCGUUCAGAGGUUUUAUACUAAGAAUUAUUAUGCAGCUGAGAUUUGAGUUGUGAAGUAGCUCUUUCUACCAAAUUGCAAUCGGAUCGUUUUAAACGCUUGAUGGAUUUGUAUGCGCAGCUGUGAACGAUCAUCUUACUUGUGAUAGUAUAAAUAGCAAUGCGAAUUCGCGUUUUUAUUCAAUUUUACAAGGAAGUUCUUCCAUUACACUUUAAGAAAUGGUUGUAUCUUUUUGGAUAAAAUAAACAAGUUACUAGACAUGUAUAAUAACUGACGAGCAUUUGCAUUAUACUAUCACGGACUCUUCACGAAGAUGCUGAUUAUUGCAUGCAUUCUUGUUGUCUUCUGGCAGCAAGAUAGUGUACACACAGAAGAUGUUUCAGUCCGAUCAUACAACUUUACCGGCAAAGACAUCCGAUUGGUUGGCGGUAAUAGUGAACUAGAAGGACGAGUAGAAAUUCUAAUUAAUGGUACCUGGGGAACUAUUUGUUAUGAGGGCAACUUUGACAUCCGUGACGCAGAUGUCCUGUGUAGAAUGCUUCACUCAAAUCUGAGUGCCUUAGAAUACUACACGGGUAGUCGCUAUGGAUAUGGCAUUGGUCCCAUAUUUUACUCACAAAUUGCCUGCAGGGGAACAGAGCAAACAAUCCAUAUGUGCUCCAGCGACACGGGUGUAUUUUGUUCGCAUUUGUCGGAUGUUGGUCUGAUGUGUACAGGUUGUCCACGAACGGCAAUACAUACAUAUGGACAAUUUGAGCAUGUCAACAUUACCGCCAAUGGUGAUCUAUACACAGGCAACUGCAGCAACGGGACAUCCACGUUUCAGUUCAUGUAUCGAUGUGGACUCAAUGGCAGUUGGGAAGAAUACGGCCAAAAAUGCGGACCAUUAGGAAUUGUUAACGAUUUUCUUAUGUACCGUUUAUAGAUCGAGCUACGGAACAUCAGACUAUACAUUUUAUUGAUAGCUUUUUAAGGCGUCUACAUGUUUUACCGGAAGGGGGCUAAAGGUUUUUCCAUGGUCCCUGAUUCCUUUGGUUACGGAAAUAACUGGAAACUAAUAUAUUGAUCCUUCUAAAGUUGAAACAGAACUCAAGCUCGAUUGAUGACACUUAAUUUGCGGAUAGAAGGCCGUAUGGACAAUAUUCAUGUUAUUUCGUAUUUUCUUCAUACAAAAAUUGUCAUAACUAUGGUUACAUGUGCUGAUGAAUUAUUGGCGUCGCACUGGAGUGCGGCGACUAGUAUUUAAUGCAUUUUUUUCGCUUAUGGGAGGAGAAGUUAUUUUACGCAUCAAUGUAUAUAUUUUUGUUUUAAGAAUAUCUUGCAUAGUAGUGAUUUUUGUGUGUAAAUUAGUGUAAAUAAGUACUGCAUUUGUGCCUAUAAAUUAAUUACAACAUUUAUGGCCAAUAAUGCAAAGCUUAUUGUUUUAAUUAAUACCUGGUCCACAACUGAUCACAGGGGAAAGAUCACAGGGACUGGGCAAAUACGCGAAACUUUCUGGUUUUGUAUAAAAACAAAACAUAAUCAAAAUAUAUUUAUUUUGUGAUUUUUCUAACAAUAGCGCAGACUUUUGCUGUUCGAGUUUUGGUUAACGCGUAUUUUCUUCAAUUUUACAAGACGACAGCGAUUACACGGUUUAUUGCUUUAUUAAUAACCGUUACACUACAGUCACUUAUUAAGGCAGUAGGUGCCUAGUGAGAUCGGGAAUAGUCGGUCGAUAUCGCCGUAUUCGGAAAGCGUUUCGGCUAUAAGCGAUAUCUACGGUAAAGUCCGGAAAUUAUACUAAAUACACGAAAUAAACGUUAAGAUUUAAUAACUAUACAUUACAACAAUAAGUUAAAUUAAUUUGUUUCAUAAAAUAUUUGUGUUCAUGACGUCACGGUUGUUGACAUUUUCUUAGCAAAAUGAAAGUGCGAAAUAAAAGCGAGCGAUUUGCAAAAUCAAAAAAGAAACAAAUACCGAUCGAAAACGUUGAUUUCGAUAACAAUUAUUCAUUAACCGAGCUCUUCGAUAGCGAUAUGUGUGAAAAUUACUCACGUAAAAGCUAUUCGCAUUUGCUAAAUGGCGUGAAAAGAUUAAGCAGAAGUGUGUGGGGGGAUAGAAGAAGAUUGAUUGACUCGUUGAGCUGGAAGGUUUUGCUAAACAAAUUACAGUAUGGUCAGUUUUGUAAUCUGUGUCCAAUUCCUUUGACAAUAUAUAACAUUGUUGGCGAACUACAAAAUGGCCUCAGUGGUUAUUUGUACGUUGUUUGUGAAAACCCUGACUGUAGAAAAGUCAACCGUGUUGCUUAUGGAAAACAGCACCAUCUCAAUAUCAGGGGAAUGCCAUGCUUUGACGUAAAUACCAAGCUUGGAACAGGUAUGCAUGUCUUCAUUUUUCAACCUGCCAUUUCUAUCAAUGUUUAAUCAUUGUACAAUUGCCAUUGAUCUUUGUACUUCUUACACACCGAGUAAAAGCCAGAAUUGGUUUCUUCGACGUACCCUUCCAGAUCCAGACAUGUUCAGACCCCUUAAAUUUCCAAGUGUCAUUCCCAGUGAAAAUUUGUUUAUCGUGUAAUAUAUAAGGAAACAUUCCGGCGUCUAUCAUAUUUAGUUUUCAAAUUUAGUUUCGCUUUUGUGAGUUAAAUCCAAUUGAUUGCUCAUUCAUGUUAUUUGAUAAUGUAAUGAUGAUACGAAUGGAUUCUAUGAAAAAAAAUUGUAACGUCAUUAUUAAGUAACUACGGCCUUAUUUCGUUUUCCUGUUCUUAUCAUUUUCAAUUCUCUUUUCAGCAUUGAAAGUCAGUUUGGGCAGGCCGGUGAAGGUAAAUAACUUCCUAACAACUCUAAACAUAACGCUUAUUGCAAAUAGAAAUCUUAAGAAGAUGGAGGCUUGGGCUGGGUUUUUUGCGUCGUCUACCAAGGCUGCCAAUUAUGCUUAUGAGAAGGAAAUGGAUUCGAGGCCUGAUAUUACUCAGAUUGCUACUGUGCAUUUGAAGACGGGUUUUAAGUUCUCGACAUAUGUGAAGACAACAGUUCCAAUUUCGUCCGAAGCUCAGAAAGUGAUUGGCAUCUGUGUUGAUGAUCAUGGCAUAAUGCGUGUAAAUGGUGGAAGUGUUGAUAGUGUAUCAAUUAAAACAACUAUUUCAUGAUUGUAUGAUGUGGCUUGCAAAGUUUCCCAGAGCCAUAUUUGUUGCUCAUAAUGGGCGCAGGUUUGAUUUUCCGGUUUGGGUUAGUGCAUUGCUGAACACACACUGUUUUGAAACGUUUUGUAAUUGUGUGAGCAGUUUUGUUUACUCUUUGCCGGUUUUCAAAAAUCGUAUCCUGGACAGUCACACAAACAGGAAGAUCUAGUGAACGUGUUCUCCAGGCAACCUGCAACGCCCACAGUGUUCCUAAUGAUGUUGAAGCACUAGGAUCUUUGCUUAAAACAUGUAAAAUUACUGACAAUAUGGCCCACAACUUUACUGUUACUGCAAUCCAUAAUUCAGUUUGUUUAGGUCAUGAAAAGCCUUAAAGGCAAAGAACAUUAGAUUGUUAGACGUGCUGUUGCCUAGAGGAACUCUUAAUCGACCAACAGCUGAAAACAUUGCGGGAUAUGGACUGGCCUUGUUUCACUUGAAAGCCAUAUUUUCUAGUUCCGGAGAGGAUGACUUUAGGGAUACUUUCAUUGCUAAAAACAAUGAGGGACUACCAAAAGUCACAAAUGCAAAUAAGUAUUUUAUCUGAAGUGGUCUCUAAAAUCGGCCAGUUUGUCAGUGACGAAAAGUGACGGAACGAGAUACUAUGGCUUUCAAAUGACAGGCGGCCAGCAAAAAUCACGCAAUGGCUUUAUACUGAUACUAAAUUAUGUACAUCUAGUUGUCAUUAAUCUGGUUGUUUUUAUUAAAAUAUAAGUUGUAUAUUAGUGUGCUACAUGUUAAAAGAACCAUGAUAACUUAUACAUCUUUAUGCUACGUAGCAGCCGAGCGUGGCACCCGUUAUUCGGUGCUCUUGUUAAUGUAUUAUUAUAUCAAUAUUAAUUCAACGUUAGCUCAAUUUCUUCACAUGUCAUGGUUUAUAACUGUAGCUUUUAAUAAGCAACUAGAAAACCCCCAAAAAGAAGUGAUAUACAAAUUUAAACUUAAAUUCAUUGCGUGAAAAUGAAUUGGGGAAGGCAUACUCAAAGUAAAAUUUCUUGAGAUAGGAACGGUAAAACUUCCUGAAAUUCAUUCAGUGUGUAGACAAUAUGUUGUGUUGAAUAAAUAUGUACAAUAUAUGCAUUGCAUCACUCUACAAGUGACAUAAAACGUAAUUAAAGUUUCUUGUCACUGAAACAUUUGUUGUCGCUUUUGCCAUUUUAUCCAGAUAAGUGCAUAUAUUAUUGGACAUCAAAGAGACAAUUCUCUUUCAAUGACACAUUUUUAAUUCUACUAACAAAAUCCAGUCGUGUACGUUUAUUAAGUUAAUUGUCAAAAUAUAUGUAUAUCCCAUUACAAAAACUAUAUAUAUUUAUGCCCCCCUUCGAAGAAAAGGGGGUAUAUUGUUUUGCUCAUGUCGGUCGGUCGGUCCGUCGUUCGGUCGGUCGGUCCGUCCGUCAGUCCGUCCACCAGAUGGUUUCCGGAUGAUUACUCAAGAACGCUUAGGCCUAGGAUCAUGAAACUUCAUACAUAGAUUGAUCAUGACUGGCAGAUGAUCCCUUUUGAUUUUCAGGUCACUAGGUCAAAGGUCAAGGUCACAGUGACUCGAAAUAGUAAAAUAGUUUCCGGAUGAAACUCAAGAAUGCUAACGCCUAGGAUCAUGAAACUUCACAGGUACAUUGAUCAUGACUAGAAGAUGACCCCUAUCGAUUUUCAGGUCACUAGGUUAAAGGUCAAGGUCAAAGUGACUCUAAACAGUAAAAUGGUUUCCGGAUGAUAACUCAAGAAUGCUUACGUCUAGAAUCACAAAACUUCAUAGGUACAUUGAUCAUGACUGGCAGAUGACCCCUACUGAUUAAAAGGUCACUAGGUCAAAGGUCAAGGUCACAGUGACUCUAAACAGUUAAAUGGUUUCAGGAUGAUAACUCAAGAAUGCUUACGCCUAGGGUCAUGAAACUUUAUAGGAUCAUUGAUUAUGACUGGCAGAUGCCCCCUUUUAAUUUUCCGGUCACUCGGUCAAAGGUCAAGGUCACAGUGACUCGAAACAGUAAAAUGGUUUCCUGAUGAUAAAUCAAGUAUAAUAAGGCCUAGGAUCAUGAAACUUCAUAGGUACAUUGAUCACGACUGGCAGAUGACACCUAUUAAUUUUCAAGUCACUAGGUCAAAGGUCAAGGUCAAUGACAAAAAACUUAUUCACACAAUGGCUGCCAGUACAACUGACAGCCCAUAUGUAGGGCAUGCAUGUUUUACAAUCAGCUCUUGUUUGGAUAUAGGGUUAAUCCAUAGAAAACGCCCAACUGAGUCCUUCCCUUCGAAGAAGAGGGGUAGAUUGUUUUGCUCAUGUCGGUCGGUCAGUCCGUCGGUCGGUUGGUCUGUCCGUCGGUCCGUCCACCAGAUGGUUUCCGGAUGAUAACUCAAGAAGGCUUAGACCUAGAAUCAUGAAACUUCAUACAUAGAUUGAUCAUGACUGGCAAAUGACCCCUAUUGAUUUUCAGGUCACUAGAUCAAAGGUCAAGGUCACAGUUACUCGAAAUAGUAAAAUUGUUUCCGGAUGAUAACUCACGAAUGCUUACGCCUAGGAUCAUGAAACUUCAUAUAUACAUUGAUCAUCACUGGCAGAUUACCACUAUUAAUGUUCAGGUAACUAGGUCAAAGGUCAAGGUCGCGGUGAAUCGAAACAGUAAAAUGGCUUCCUGAUGAUAACUCAAGAAUAAUAAGGCCUAUGAUCAUGAAACUUUUUAGGUACAUUGAUCACGACUGGCAGAUGACACCUAUUGAUUUUCAAGUCACUAGUUCAAAGGUCAAGGUCAGUGACAAAAAACUUAUUCACACAAUAACGCCAGUACAACUGACAGCCCAUAUGCGGGCAUGCAUUUUACAAACAGCCCAUGUUUGGAUAUAGGGUAAAUCCAUAGAAAACGCCCAACCGAGUCAAGGGGUAGGUGUAUUUAACCAAGUAUAAAAAGUUAACCGGCUGGUAAAAAGUUUUAAAAUUUUGCAAUUAGUUGUGGUAUACAAUUUACUAUAUGGAAAUAUUAACAUAGAGUGUUUCUGGAAAAGUACCCAUUAGGCUCCCACUACCUUAAUAUGUUUGUUAGAUGGUGAUUUUUCAAGCGGUUCCGUAGUGUAGUGGUUACACGCUGUCUUCACAUGUUAGAGGACUAAGGUUCGAGCCCCGGUAGAAUCAAAUUAUUUUAUUUGUGUUCUAUGUUAACAUUUUGGUUUGAUGUAUACAUUUUAGUUAAAAUAAAUAUGCUGUUUUAUUGCAACCAUUUUUUGUUUUUAUUAUGCCAAUGAAAUAUAUGUGUGAUAGGGUGGGGGGGUUCGUAAACACAUUAAAACCUUCUUUGUUCCACUAUCCUAGCAACCACCUAGUUACUAAUAAAGGCGCUAUAGAGCGCGAAGCGCGACACGUAUUAUUAAUUGUAAUAAUGAGUCUUGAUAACGGAAGCAGCCGCUUAUCUAUGAUGAGCACCAGCACAGCACCCAGUCUCAUUACUAUCAAGUCCUCCUACAGAUUCUAUUUUGAAGAACCACAUAUAGAAGGCCGCAGUCCUGACCCGUAUCUUGCUAGUGGUAUGGACCCUUUGGUAUGGACCUUUAACCCCGCUCACUAUCCAGUGUUUAAACUUCCGGGUUUACAUUUUAACCGACUAUUAAUAGCUUAUUAAUAUCUUAGUUAGAAGGUGAUUUUUCAAGCGGAUCCGUAGUGUAGUGGUUACACGCUCGCUUCACAUUUGAGAAGCCCAAUGUUCAAGCCCCAGUAGAAUCAAGUUAUUUUAUUUGUGUUCUAUGUUAACUUUUGGUUUAGAUGUAGACAUUUUAGUUCAAAUAAAUAUGCUGGUUUAUUUUAA